rnacentral:rRNA from 1 species
UACGUAGGGUGCGAGCGUUGUCCGGAAUUACUGGGCGUAAAGAGCUCGUAGGUGGUUUGUCGCGUUGUUCGUGAAAACUCACAGCUCAACUGUGGGCGUGCGGGCGAUACGGGCAGACUGGAGUACUGCAGGGGAGACUGGAAUUCCUGGUGUAGCGGUGGAAUGCGCAGAGAUCAGGAGGAACACCCGUAGCGAAGGCGGCACUCUGGGCCGAUACUGACACUGAGGAGCGAAAGCGUGGGGAGCGAACAGG